rnacentral:rRNA from 1 species
UACGUAGGGGGCGAGCGUUGUCCGGAAUUACUGGGCGUAAAGGGCGCGUAGGCGGCCCGCUAAGUCCGUUGUGAAAGACCGAGGCUCAACCUCAGGGUGUCAACGGAGACUGGUGGGCUCGAGUGUCGGAGAGGAGCGGGGAAUCCCUGGUGUAGCGGUGGAAUGCGUAGAGAUCCGGAAGAACACCGGUGGCGAAGGCGGCCUGCUGGGCUAUGGCUGACACUGAGGCGCGACAGCGUGGGGAGCAAACAGG